CGAGUUGGCCGAACAGUCGCUGUUUUAUUGCAAAAUAAAGCGGAGGAAAGUCCGGGCUCCAUAGGGCAGGGUGCCAGGUAACGCCUGGGAGGCGCAAGCCUACGGAAAGUGCCGCAGAAAAUAUACCGCCCCUCACCUAACGCUAGGUGAGGGGUAAGGGUGAAAUGGUGUCGGUAAGAGCGCACCGCGCCGCUGGCAACAGCGGUGGCAGGGUAAACCCCACCCGGAGCAAGAUCAAAUAGAGGAGCAGACGCGCGGCCCGCGCGGUUCCCGGGUAGAUUGCUUGAGCCGUGAGGUGACUUGCGGCCUAGAUGAAUGGCUGUUCAAGACAGAACCCGGCUUAUAGGCCAACUCUUUCU
rnacentral:RNase_P_RNA from 1 species